rnacentral:rRNA from 1 species
UGGGGAAUAUUGCACAAUGGGGGGAACCCUGAUGCAGCGACGCCGCGUGAGCGAUGAAGGAAUUCGUUUCGUAAAGCUCUGUCCUUGGAGAAGAUAAUGACGGUAACCAAGGAGGAAGCACCGGCUAAAUACGUGCCAGCAGCCGCGGUAAUACGUAUGGUGCGAGCGUUGUCCGGAAUUAUUGGGCGUAAAGGGUACGUAGGCGGUUUGACAAGUCAGAUGUUAAAACUUGAGGCUUAACCUCAUGUUGCAUUUGAAACUGUCAAACUUGAGUAGUGGAGAGGAAAGUGGAAUUCCUAGUGUAGCGGUGAAAUGCGUAGAUAUUAGGAGGAAUACCAGUAGCGAAGGCGACUUUCUGGACACAAACUGACGCUGAGGUACGAAAGCGUGGGGAGCAAACAGG